GACGAACGCUGGCGGCGUGCUUAACACAUGCAAGUCGAACGCUGAAGCCCUUUCGGGGGUGGAUGAGUGGCGAACGGGUGAGUAACACGUGGGUAAUCUGCCCUGUACUUCGGGAUAAGCCUUGGAACCGGGGUCUAAUACCGGAUAGGACCUGUCCUCGCAUGGGGGUGGGUGGAAAGUUCCGGCGGUAUGUGAUGAGCCCGCGGCCUAUCGGCUUGUUGGUGGGGUAGUGGCCUACCAAGGCGACGACGGGUGGCCGGCCUGAGAGGGUGACCGGUAAAACUGGGACUGAGAGACGGCCCAGACUCCUACGGGGGGGAGCAGUGGGGAAUCUUGCGCAAUGGGCGAAAGCCUGACGCAGCAACGCCGCGUGGGGGAUGACGGCCUUCGGGUUGUAAACCUCUUUCGACCUCGACGAAGGGGCCCUGUUGUGGGGUUUUGACGGUAGGUGUAGAAGAAGCACCGGCUAACUACGUGCCAGCCGCCGCCGUAA
rnacentral:rRNA from 1 species